UCCUACGGGAGGCAGCAGUAGGGAAUCUUCCGCAAUGGACGCAAGUCUGACGGAGCAAUGCCGCGUGAAUGAAGAAGGUCUUCGGAUUGUAAAGUUCUGUUAUCAGAGAAGAACAACUCAUAGAGUAACUGUUAUGAGUUUGACGGUACUACA
rnacentral:rRNA from 1 species